UGAUCAUUUAAGGGCAUUAAAUUGGCUUGUUUUGGUCAGGUGUGGUGGCUGCUCAUGCCUGUAAUACCAACACAUUGGGACGCCAAGGUGGGAGAAUCACUUGAACCCAGGAGUUCGAGUCCAGCCUGGGCAACAUGGCACGAGACCCCAUCUCUAUUUCUAAAAUAAUAAUAAAUUCGGUUAUUUUGAAGCUUUUUCAAUUUGAGGAUGCUAUAAAAACUUAGACUUGUUGCUUGAAUCUUCCAUAAUAGUAUGUAGGAGCAAUUUCUCUAAACAGCAUUUUAAGUUAUUUAUUUGUGGGUUUUUAAAAUGUCAACAAAAUGCAUGGCAGUAUUUAUUUUUUAUAUCUUCAUAUAAAAUUAAGUAAAUUAUAGCAUUAUGAACAUUUUAGAACCAUGCAAGAGAAGUUAUAGAGAAAGUAAUUUAUGGUGAUUUUCAUAAAGCUUUAAAAUAUUUUCAUUUGGGCUAUAACAAAAUGAGUACAAAGGAACUAUUUAGCCUGGAGGGGCUUUUGUUAUUUAAAUGUCAGAUUUCUUUGAUACAUUCUUCAAAAAUAAUCCUUGUCCUGCCUCUAUGUUCCAUUAUUGUGUUUCUUUUUUUUUUUUUUGGAGACAGAGUCUCACUCUGUUGCCCAGGCUGGAGUGCAGUGGUGUAGUCUCGGCUCACUGCAAGCUCUGCCUCCCAGGUUCACACCAUUCUCCUGCCUCAGCCUCCCAAGUAGCUGGGACUACAGGCGCCUGCCACCACGCCCGGCUAAUUUUUUGUAUUUUUAGUAGAGACGGGGUUUCACCAUGUUAGUCAGGAUGGUCUCAGUCUCGAUCUCCUGACCUGGUGAUCUGCCCGCCUUGGCCUCCCAAAGUGCUGGGAUUACAGGCGUGAGCCACAGCGCCCGGCCUUAUUGUGUUUCUUGAAGAGAUUCCAAUUAGUUUUCAAUUAUUUAACCAAUUAGUUUUCAUUAUUGCUGUUAUAUUUAAACUUUACCAUUGGAAUAAUAUUGGUAUGCGUUUGAUAUUAGUCACUCGAUGUCAUCAUUAUUUGUAUUGGAAUGUGCUAUUCACAAUAGGUUAUUUAGAAGCUGUAUGUGGCAGUGGCCAAGAGAGUCAGUAGGACCUUCUUUUCAGAGAUAGGAAACUUUCUAGAAAGCCUGUUAAUGGGCUUUCAUUGAAAUUUCCUAAGAUAGCCAGAUACUGUCAUUCAAAAUAUCUAGAAAGAAGAAUGUAAAAAGUUAGAUAACCUGGGUCGGGUGUGGUGGCUCAUGCUUGUAAUCCCAGCACUUUCGGAGGCCAAGGUGGGCGGAUCAACUGUGGUCAGGAGUUCGAAACCAGCCUGGCCAACAUGGUGAAACCUCGUCUCUACUAAAAAUACAAAAAUUAGCUGGGCAUGGUGGCAGGUGUCUGUAAUCCCAGCUACUUGGGAGGCUGAAACAGGAGAAUCGCUUGAACCUGGGAGGUAGAGGUUGCAGUGAACCCAGACUGCACCAUUGCGCUCUAGCCUGGGCAACAAGAGUGAAACUCCAUCUCAAAAAAACCUGGAAUUCUCUUCCAUCAGAAAUAAAAGUAAAAAUUACAGGUAAAGCCUCUUCCAAACAAAAUAACUUAUUGGUAAUAGAUAUUUUAAUUUGUGAGUUGUAAAUACAUAAGAUUAAUAAAUGGUCUUUUAAACCUAGUGCUUUUAAUGUCUUUGUAGUCCAAAAAGAAUCUGGGAGUAGAUUUUCUCCUUUAAUACUGUUUUAUCAUAAUGACCCACAUAUAUCCAUUCACACAUGGAGCCUUCACUGUAAAAGUGAACGUACAUAGAUCUGUAGCUGCAACAACGUCCACUGAAAUGGAUCACUCAUUCUUUAAUAGAACCACUUUUAAAACAAAUGAGGUUUUCAGAAGUAACAUAGUAUGCACAGAAUUUUGGGGCUACUGGAAAGAAUGACAAGCACGGGAACAUCUACCAAAUGUAGAAUUGGUUCAGAUUUUAGCAUGACUAAUUGCUAGUCAUAUGUUGUUGAGAACAAUACUGAUUA
rnacentral:lncRNA from 1 species